GUCAGACACACAGCACGUGCGGGAAGGGGCAGAACUCAACCAACUGUGGAAGGCGAUGGUUUGUCCUUCUGUGAACCAGAGCCAGAAAGCCUUGAGAACUUCAAACUAAGCAACGAUUUCAUCCUUGACAGGGACAUGGCACAGGAGAAAAUGGAAAUAGACUUGGAGUUGCCCCCAAAUUUCACUACUACAACUGGCAAUGCCCUGAGAAGAGCCAACAGUGUCCCUUUGGUCAAUGGGUUUGGCCUUCUCUUCCUUGAAUUUAUGGAGGUUCUGAAGGUAUCUCCCUUGUCCCUGGUGUCUGGAGAUCCCACCUUCAGCCUGGUGGAGUGGGGGAUGGUGUGGAAUAGGCUGACCUGAGGGAGAGUACCCGUCCCACCCUGAGGCUGCAACAAAGUGUGGAGCACCACCUCUUUUACCCACUCCCUUGAAGAAACAGCACCCUCUCCAAUCCCUUCCUGCUUCCAGAUCUCCUGUCCUAUUUUUUUUCUCAUUCUCAACUGCUCUGUCACCUCCAACCUCUGUCUCUUGCACACUCAAGAUGAAAAUGUUUGUCAAGCAAAUAAACU
rnacentral:lncRNA from 1 species